rnacentral:rRNA from 1 species
GACCAGACUCCUACGGGAGGCAGCAGUGGGGAAUAUUGGGCAAUGGGCGCAAGCCUGACCCAGCAACGCCGCGUGAAGGAAGAAGGCUUUCGGGUUGUAAACUUCUUUUGACAGGGAAGAGUAGAAGACGGUACCUGUCGAAUAAGCCACGGCUAACUACGUGCCAGCAGCCGCGGUAAUACGUAGGUGGCAAGCGUUGUCCGGAUUUACUGGGUGUAAAGGGUGCGCAGGCGGAUUUUUAAGUCAGCGGUCAAAUCGUGGGGCUCAACCCCAUCCAGCCGUUGAAACUGGGGAUCUAGAGUGUGCGAGAGGUAUGCGGAAUGCGUGGUGUAGCGGUGAAAUGCAUAGAUAUCACGCAGAACCCCGAUUGCGAAGGCAGCAUACCGGUGCACAACUGACGCUCAGGCACGAAAGCGUGGGUAUCGAACAGGAUUAGAUACCCUAGUA